ensembl:lncRNA
CACACAUUACAUCAUCAAUCCAGCUAAAGAAGUGACUCACAGGGUGACCAGACGUCCUCUUUCUGAGACCUAAAUAAUGUGUCCGGGAUUUUGCUUCGUCGGAUAUUUGUGUUUCUGAGUCUUUCACAAACUAGUUAUUCCGCCCUCACAAGUGGUGUAAAUGGUGUCUCCCUUACGCUCCACCUUCCUGCGCGAGCUCUGACUGUAGAGAGAACAGUCAUUGGUCGACCGAUCGCCAUGUUGCCAGAUACACGAUAAUUAUCCUCCACAUACGACCAUUUUGAGCCUUUGGUACGAUACUUGACCAUUUCCAAUGUGGCAACACUGAGCACCUUGCCGCCUCCACUAGUUGCUUUGUUUACAGCACAUGACAUCUGCAUCUCUUCUUUUAAUAUGUGGCCGUAUAAAAGAAUUGAUUAUUUAGAAUUUUGUUAUCAUCAUUGCUUUAAUAAAUGGACCAGACACAUUAAAGAAGCGCUGGACUAAAUGCCAGAAGAGAGAUUUGUUUUACAUUUGCACUUUGCAGUUUUGUUAAAGUUCAAUAAAUAGAUGUUCAUAUAGUCAUGUGUGACCUUUGUAUGCAGUCACAAUGUCAUGGUGCGGCAUGCUAUACAUUUUCUGAGGUCCCUGUUGGGAAAAGUCCUUUUCUUUGUCCUGUUAAUAAAAAGAUGAAUGUUACAUGUGAGCAGCCUAAAUAAACAACGGCGUGAUGUUUGGAGCAUUCAGGACACCUCGAGGUUUACAAGUUGCUCUCCUGCUGCUUGUUGUGACCGUUUACAUCACCACACAAUCACGUUCACACGCACAAACACAAACGAAUACUUGCUUUCAACAUGUAGAGCUCAAGAGAGUGAGUUCUUAAUUGCACCACAUGUCAUUAACAUACAAGUCUCACAUUGGACAUGAGCUUUUCUUCAGCGCUGGAUUCUCUUCCUGAGCUGCUUGGUUGUCGCUUUGUGACUCUUCUGUCGCUAACUUGGGGACAAAGAGGACGUCUGUGCAGCCAUAGAUAUUAUAUAUAAAGGCUAGAUGUCUUUGGUUUGUUAUAAACAUCAGAGAUGUAGGAGCGGAUUUCAACAUGCAUCUGGUACCUAUUUUAGAACAUUAUUCUAUUUGUUAGAACGUAAC